rnacentral:rRNA from 1 species
AAACUACCCUCUGGACCGGGACAACCUNGGGAAACUGAGGCUAAUCCCGGAUAGCGCUCCUACGCUGGAAUGCGGGGAGCGUGAAACGCUCCGGCGCCUGAGGAUGUGGCUGCGGCCGAUUAGGUUGACGGUGGGGUAACGGCCCACCGUGCCGAUAAUCGGUACGGGGUGUGAGAGCACGAUUCCGGAGAUGGAAUCUGAGGCAAGAUUCCAGGCCCUACGGGGCGCAGCAGGCGCGAAACCUUUACACUGCACGCACGUGCGAUAAGGGGACACCGAGUGCGAGGGCAUACAGUCCUCGCUUUUGUACACCGUAAGGAGGUGUACGAAUAAGGGCUGGGCAAGACCGGGUGCCAGCCGCCGCGGUNAUACCNGCAGCCCGAGUGAUGGCCGCUAUUUAUUGGGG